GUGAAGUUUCUUUGGUAUGUACAAAACCCAGGAAUGUGAGACUCCUUGAUGAUAUUUAAUAUGAAUGCAAAUGGCAUUCCUCUAGUCCGGGUAGUUUUUUUGAUUUUUUUAAUGUGUUUGGCCUCUGGGUCCUUUACUCUGGAACAACUCUAGUGCAGAGAAUAAUGGGUUUUACUCCAGCCCUUCUGAGCUCCAGGAGAAGAUUAUUUUCCUUUGCUGCAGCAGCCCUUGCCAUGCCUGUGAGGAGCCCAGCUGAUGUGCUGUGUGUGCAUAAUGGCACGCACCCAGCACCGGGUGCAGGAUGUGGCUCUCAGGCAUUCUUUCACUCAGCCUCUGUGCUGGCCCAGGGAGAGAUUUUGCCUGGAACACCAUUGAUUUGGGUUCAAAUUCUAGGUGUGACAGACAUAUUUUGAUGCUUAGAAAGUCACUUAUCAUCCGUGUGCUUCACUUCUGAACUGGGGAGAGCCGUGUUUUCACUCAUAAGAGUCAGGGUUAUAACUCAUUUGCUGGGAUGUUCAGAGCACUGGAUCAGUGCUUACAAGAUGUAGUGCAGUCCCAUCCAUAUCUACACAAUGUCUAAGAGAAUUUCUAUGGGUAGACCUUGAGUUGGGUUUUAAAAGGAGGUGGACCACAGUGUGUCUGUGCAAGCUCCAAAGAGCAGGUCUCACACUUCAAGGUUUAAGUAGGUCAUUCAGUCUGCUCAGGAGGAAGCCUUCCUCCUAUUUUCUCAUUGUCUGUCUCUGGCUGGUGUAAAUGCAUUACAGACUAUUUAUCCCUAAGAAAAAAAAAAUAAAAAAUGUCUGCAGAAGACAAGAUUUAAACAGGUUGAUUCUUAUCAGAGGACUACAAUUGAAUUUUGAGGUGAAAUUUAAUAGCAGCUGCCUUAGCCCAAUACAUGGCUUGUAAAGUGAAAGUCAGACAGACAAAAUAUGUACCUGUUUCUCUAUCUGUCUGUCUAUCUGGUAUUUAUUUUACUUUAUGGCCCAGACAAGAGAGGAAACCAUAAAUACACAGGUGUCUGUGAACUACCUUCCCAGGGAAAGCUGGUGUUAUGGUAACUCUGGUACCUCGUUUAUGUUAAUCAUCUUCUAACAAGUCCCUCAGUGUGAUGCAUGCAUAGGUAAAUUGUGCUGAUUAGCCCUUCAAGAGGGGCUAAUGAAAAUCACAUUAACACUGUUUAACAAAAAGAUACAUAAGGAAAUCUUUUGGAAGUGAGCAAAUAUUUGUCAUCAGCCACAUGUUUCUGUGAACAAACCUUCUUAGAGUGCUUGCAGAUGUCACUGUCUAUAAAGAGCCAUACAUACAGGUCUCAUAUGGGUGUCAUCGAAACCAAAACCAAUUAAGAAACAUCUGCAGACAACAGAAUGCUGUCAAGUGUGAACAAUGAAAUUUCUUCCAAGAGAAGAGAGCGAGCAGAGCAUGCUCUCAACAAGUCUGGGAAAGCUUCAUCCAAACAAAAGCCCAGUUUUUGUCUUCACUGUAGCUUCCAGCAUCUAGCAACCUGGCUCUGAAGAGCACUGUGAACCAAGGCAGAGUUGACCCAGCCUUUGCAAUCAGCACCACUAAUUAAGUUUAGCCCACUGACAGCUAGCCUGCUUAAAAUACACUGUACUUCAUCAAUGUAGGAGCACGAAGCAAUGAUUGCUUGCUUAUGAAGAUAUUUUAGUUUAAACUGCUGCUUUUUUUUUUUUUUUUAAAUUCUCACUAUCUCACUAGAGAGCCUCGUAAAGGUUAUAUGAAGACAUUUUCCCUAUCUCUAACCUAAUUUCAUUUCUUUUAUGCUCAAUUUCAAGUCACUGGGAUUGCCGUGUUUCUUUAUGGAAUGAUUAUAAUAACCCCGUGAGGUUUUAUUGCCUUAAUGUACCCGUAUAUAUUCUCAACACUAACUCUAGUUUAAGAUAUAUUUUUAAAUAACUAAUAUAUAGUAUAUAUGGGCACAUGGUGAAGGAGAGAAAUUAGACAUCAGGAAGGUCUCUAAGGGAAAUGUACCAGGUCUGCACUCCUGGCCUCCCGGUCACAGUGGCCAAGAUGGGCUAGACCUGAAAAAAUUGGUAGCACCAAGUUCCCAGCUUCUACUGGCAGAACAGACUUUAUUAAGGUGUUGGAAACCAACUAUAUGAAAAUUAUAUGAGGGAAAGGGAUGGGGUGUUUUUUGUGUUGGCAAGCAUGAGGAUAAGAAAGUGGGUUUGCCUUUCUUUCUUUACGGAGGAUGAAACGCACACAAAUCUUACGCUGUUGGGAGUUGUGGCUUGAAGAAAGAUAAAAGCAAACCCCACCAUUGCCUUGGUAAGGGCUCAGAGAUUAACACUGCCAGCACCUGUAAGCUCCACAAACGUAUGCAACCCACCUCUGAAGCUUUGUACUGCUGCUGCUCUGGCUGUCACAGCACAGAGGUCUGCACAGACUGAUUGCCAAAUGUCUGAAUGCAGUCCUGAGUGAGUUAUUUUGCAUCAGACCAUGUAAAAGCCCCCCUGUUACCCAUCGCUUCACACACACACAUGCGCUGGGUGCAUGGCAGCUCCGGGAACCGCAGCAUGGGCCUGCCUGGAGGGAGCUGAGCAUUGCGGAGUCUGUAGCUUCACAGCAAACCUGCUGCCCUUCCUUUUUUUCUGGGCAGAGAUAGGGAGCCUUUGCCAUUCUGUUUACAAAUGCAAUGUUCUCCUUUUCUUUAUCACAAAACAACAGAUACGGGCAUGACAGCCCCGCACUCCGCAGGCUUAUUUUUCCUCAGGCGGGUGGUACCUGAGCUCUUGAUCCCGCCGGUAUGGCCACAAAAGGUGUCAUUAAUUACAGUAGAAAACAACAACAACAGUAGCAAUUACUUACAGAUAAUGGAAGAUGCAGGAAGACAACUGCCACAGAUGAAGCAACUACCUGGCUGGGUAGCUCAGAUAUUUUACAGCACUUCCCAGGAGGGAAAAAGCCUUUAACCGCACUGCUGAUUGCCUUGGGCAAGAUCAAUGAGAGGCAGAAGGCCUAUCUCUGGGAGCCUAAAUUGACAGGAGCACUAAAUUCGUCACUGAGGCCUCUGACUGUUUUUCAGAGAAAGAAAAUUCAGAUCAGUGCAGUGAGAACUGUUUGCACAGCAGAUUUUUUCACAUGAGGUAUCUAGACACCACAAAAUUUGUGCAAUGCCAUCUCGAAACAGCACAGAACAAUGUUUAUGGAAUUCCAUAAGCAUGGGAUUAUGCUUAUGAACCAAGAAAAUGCUAAUGCAUAAAAUUAAUAACCCAGUCAAUUUAUUAACAGUAUUUUUGCAUUUCCCCCCUUUCUUUUUGCCUUGUAGCUAUGGGAAUUGCCCAUCCAUAACAGGCAUUCAUUUUAAUAAAAAAUUCUUCCUUUUCUGUUCUAA